rnacentral:lncRNA from 1 species
UUAGGAUUUAAAAGUUUGUUUAAGGUUUAUGGAUUCAAAUAGCCACAAAAAUUUAGUGUGGAUUACCCACAAUUUAAACCACCUUUCAUUUUCUUAUGAAUUAUUCGUGGCAAAAUAUAUUUCUAGCCACUUUUUGUUUCAUGGCAAAUUUGUGACUUACCAUUUCUAUUUGAUUUCUACCUUUUAUUUCGUUGAUUUUCUUUGGCUUUUUGAAGAUACCACAAAACAUUUGUAGCUAUUUUGUGGAUAUAGCGAAGAUUUUUACUAGUAAGAUAAAUAUAAAAUAUAUUCAUUAUAAGUAUCCACCUUUGAAAUGUUUGGUAUGUAGGAAAUUAUAAGAAGUCGAAUGAAAAUGGCAAAUACUUUUUUGUAAAGAAGUUCAGCAGAAGUGAUAUUUUAAUUGUUAUCAUCACUUACGAAUGCUAAAA